GGGCUCAUGGUCUAGCGGUUAACAUCGCCUUCGGCGUUUGCCGUAUGUUGAUGUCCGUAAAUGACGUCGCCUCGACACGGCGGAGAUCUCCGGUUCAAAUCCGGAUGAGCCCA
rnacentral:tRNA from 1 species